UCGAGAAUAAUUCACAAUGGGGGCAACCCUGAUGGUGCAACGCCGCGUGGAGGAUGAAGGUCUUCGGAUUGUAAACUCCUGUCAUCCGGGAGUAAGACCUGACGGUGAAUAGCCGGCAGGGUUGAUAGUACCGGAAGAGGAAGGGACGGCUAACUUCGUGCCAGCAGCCGCGGUAAUACGAAGGUCCCGAGCGUUGUUCGGAAUCACUGGGCGUAAAGGGAGCGUAGGCGGCGCGGUAAGGCAGAUGUGAAAGCCCGGGGCUCAACCCCGGAACUGCAUCCGAUACUGCCGUGCUUUGAGGGUUGGAGAGGUAGCUGGAAUUCUUGGUGUAGCAGUGAAAUGCGUGGAUAUCAAGAGGAACACUCGUGGCGAAAGCGAGCUACUGGACAACACCUGACGCUGAGGCUCGAAGGCCAGGGGAGCGAAAG
rnacentral:rRNA from 1 species